rnacentral:rRNA from 1 species
UACGUAGGGUGCAAGCGUUAAUCGGAAUUACUGGGCGUAAAGCGGGCGCAGGCGGUUAUGUAAGGCAGAUGUGAAAUCCCCGGGCUUAACCUGGGAACCGCAUUUGUGACUGCAUAGCUGGAGUACGGCAGAGGGGGAUGGAAUUCCGCGUGUAGCAGUGAAAUGCGUAGAUAUGCGGAGGAACACCGAUGGCGAAGGCAGUCCCCUGGGCCUGUACUGACGCUCAUGCGCGAAAGCUGGGGGAGCGAACGGG